UGACCCCAUGCGGGAGAGUCCCUUGUCGUUCGCGACGGGGGCGCCGAAGGAGCAACUCCUCCCCGGAAUCUCUCAGGCAUCCGUACCGCAUGGACGAG
rnacentral:ncRNA from 2 species